rnacentral:misc_RNA from 1 species
GAUGAAGAACGUAGCGAAAUGCGAUAAGUAAUGUGAAUUGCAGAAUUCAGUGAAUCAUCGAAUCUUUGAACGCAUCUUGCGCUCCUUGGUAUUCCGAGGAGCAUGCCUGUUUGAGUGUCAUGAAAUUCUCAACCUUUUCAGCUUUCUUUGUUGAUCAGGCUUGGAUGUGGGAGUAUGCGGGCUUCUCAGAAGUCGGCUCUCCUGAAAUGCAUUAGCGGGACCUUUGUUGCCUGGCUUUGGUGUGAUAAUUAUCUACGCCAUUGUAGUCAAGCAGCUUAAAAUGAGGUUUCAGCUUCUAACCGUCUCCCCUGAGACAACUUUUUGACAAUUUGACCUCAAAUCAGGUAGGACUACCCGCUGAACUUAAGCAUAUCAAUAGCGGAGGA